AGGUGUGAUCAUACCAACACUAAUGCACCGGAUCUCAUUAGAACUCCACAGAUAAGCGUGCUUCGGUGAGAGUAGUACUACAAUGAAUGACCUCCUAGGAAGUCCUCGUGUUGUACCUC
rnacentral:rRNA from 2 species